rnacentral:snRNA from 1 species
AAGACUGUCAGUUCUACACGCAG